rnacentral:rRNA from 1 species
ACGGAAGGCAGCAGUGGGGGAUAUUGCACAAUGGGGGAAACCCUGAUGCAGCAGUGCCGCGUGAGGGAAGACGGUCUUCGGAUUGUAAACCUAAGUAGUCAGGGACGAUAAUGACGGUACCUGAAAAGUAAGCUCCGGCUAACUACGUGCCAGCAGCCGCGGUAAUACGUAGGGAGCAAGCGUUGUCCGGAUUUACUGGGUGUAAAGGGUGCGUAGGCGGGUUUGCAAGUCAGGCGUGAAAUACCGGGGCUUAACUCCGGGGCUGCGCUUGAAACUGUAGAUCUUGAGUGAAGUAGAGGCAGGCGGAAUUCCCAGUGUAGCGGUGAAAUGCGUAGAUAUUGGGAGGAACACCAGUGGCGAAGGCGGCCUGCUGGGCUUUAACUGACGCUGAGGCACGAAAGCAUGGGGAGCAAACAGGAUUAGAUACCCUGGUA